UUUGAUGUGUUUUCGUUGGGGUUUAAGUUAGUUUGAAACCCCUAUGUGCUUGUUGGCUUGAGUUUGCAUGUUGUAGACUAGGUAAAUGCAUGUGUGAAUGGAUUGAGAGAUUUUUGUGCAUGAAAGAGGCUGAGUUCUGCCCUUUGGAAGAACUCAGGUUCGGCAGCCGAAGGCUCUUUCGGCCGCCGAACCUGCCUGUGGAGGCCAACUUUCGGCUGCCAAACCCUACCCCCGAAAGUGGACUUUCGGCUCUGGAAGGGAGUUUUGGCCGCCGAAGGUGCCGCCGAACAUGCAUGAGUUUCGUCUCUGAAGGGA
rnacentral:lncRNA from 1 species